rnacentral:rRNA from 1 species
GCUUGCUUGGUGGAUCAGUGGCGAACGGGUGAGUAACACGUGAGCAACCUGCCCUGGACUCUGGGAUAAGCGCUGGAAACGGCGUCUAAUACUGGAUAUGAGACGUGAUCGCAUGGUCGUGUUUGGAAAGAUUUUUCGGUCUGGGAUGGGCUCGCGGCCUAUCAGCUUGUUGGUGAGGUAAUGGCUCACCAAGGCGUCGACGGGUAGCCGGCCUGAGAGGGUGACCGGCCACACUGGGACUGAGACACGGCCCAGACUCCUACGGGAGGCAGCAGUGGGGAAUAUUGCACAAUGGGCGGAAGCCUGAUGCAGCAACGCCGCGUGAGGGAUGACGGCCUUCGGGUUGUAAACCUCUUUUAGCAGGGAAGAAGCGAAAGUGACGGUACCUGCAGAAAAAGCGCCGGCUAACUACGUGCCAGCAGCCGCGGUAAUACGUAGGGCGCAAGCGUUAUCCGGAAUUAUUGGGCGUAAAGAGCUCGUAGGCGGUUUGUCGCGUCUGCUGUGAAAUCCCGAGGCUCAACCUCGGGCCUGCAGUGGGUACGGGCAGACUAGAGUGCGGUAGGGGAGAUUGGAAUUCCUGGUGUAGCGGUGGAAUGCGCAGAUAUCAGGAGGAACACCGAUGGCGAAGGCAGAUCUCUGGGCCGUAACUGACGCUGAGGAGCGAAAGGGUGGGGAGCAAACAGGCUUAGAUACCCUGGUAGUCCACCCCGUAAACGUUGGGAACUAGUUGUGGGGACCAUUCCACGGUUUCCGUGACGCAGCUAACGCAUUAAGUUCCCCGCCUGGGGAGUACGGCCGCAAGGCUAAAACUCAAAGGAAUUGACGGGGACCCGCACAAGCGGCGGAGCAUGCGGAUUAAUUCGAUGCAACGCGAAGAACCUUACCAAGGCUUGACAUAUACGAGAACGGGCCAGAAAUGGUCAACUCUUUGGACACUCGUAAACAGGUGGUGCAUGGUUGUCGUCAGCUCGUGUCGUGAGAUGUUGGGUUAAGUCCCGCAACGAGCGCAACCCUCGUUCUAUGUUGCCAGCACGUAAUGGUGGGAACUCAUGGGAUACUGCCGGGGUCAACUCGGAGGAAGGUGGGGAUGACGUCAAAUCAUCAUGCCCCUUAUGUCUUGGGCUUCACGCAUGCUACAAUGGCCGGUACAAAGGGCUGCAAUACCGUGAGGUGGAGCGAAUCCCAAAAAGCCGGUCCCAGUUCGGAUUGAGGUCUGCAACUCGACCUCAUGAAGUCGGAGUCGCUAGUAAUCGCAGAUCAGCAACGCUGCGGUGAAUACGUUCCCGGGUCUUGUACACACCGCCCGUCAAGUCAUGAAAGUCGGUAACACCUGAAGCCGGGGCCCAACCCUGGGAGG